rnacentral:rRNA from 1 species
CUACGGGGGGCACCAGUCGAGGAAAUUUUACAAUGCUCGAAAGAGUGAUAGAAUGAGUCAGAGUGUUUCUUUUAAAGAAACUUUUAUCUGUUGUAAAAAGACAGAUGAAUAAGGACUGGGAAAGACCGGUGCCAGCCGCCGCGGUAAUACCGGCGGUCCGAGUCGCAUCCACAUUUAUUGGGUCUAAAACAUUCGUAGCUUGUUUUGUAAGUCUCUUGUGAAAUCUUAUAUCUUAAGUAUAAGGUGUGCAAGAGAUACUACAUUACUAGAGACCGGAAGACGUAAGGAGUAUGAUUGAGGUAGCGGUAAAAUGCGUUAAUCUUAAUCAGACUAACAAUAGCGAAGGCACCUUACGAGUACGGAUCUGACAGUGAGGAAUGAAGGCUAGGGGCGCAAAAGGGAUUAGAUACCCGGGUAGUC